AUUAAAAGAAACUUUUUAGGUAGGUAAGUAAUUUUGGUCUUAUUUUACAAGAGAGUUAGCUAAAUGCUCAGAACUACAAGGAGCAUGGCUAAAAGAGGUGAAGUUAGAACCCAUUAUGUUUUGAAAUCUAGAUGAGCACAAAAGCACAUCUGUUUCUUAUGAGGUGUGGGUGGGUAAAGCAAAGCACACAGGCCUGUCAGAUCUGAUAAGCCUCCACUAUGGUGUAAAGAGCAUCAGUACGAUGUAGCCUGGAUAUCCAGAUCAAACUGAUCCACUUCUCCCUAUCUUUCUCAGGUGUUGAAACAGGUCUGUUUUGUUAAUGUGUUCUUUUAACAGUUUUGUUCAGAACAAUCAGAAGACCAAACAACAAACACUGUAUUGGCUAGAAGCACUCAGAACUAUUUUACUGAUGGUAUUAAUAUUGAUAACUAAUUUGUGGCAAACACACAUGUAAUGUGCAAGAAAUUUGUAGGUUUUAAAAUAGGUAUAAUAUGCAAUCUUUUAAAUCUCAGAUUGACUUACCUGAACUGACUGUCAUAUAUUGUACUUAACUGAAUUGCUUUUACUAUGCCAGCAAUACAUAUUCCUACAAUACCCUUUCUUCUUGACCAGUCACUGAAUGAAAAACCCAAUUCACUUUGGCAUUCAGAGCUCCCUUAAUAUUUCUGCAGUGAAAGAGCUAUGUUUUUUUCUGUUUCAUGAAACUGAAAGCCACAAGGCUAUGUUCCCCAUGGACUUGCUCUCACAGUUGUACUGAAAUCCAUCAAAGGACACCCAUCAUAGGAGUGUACAAAGUACCAUGUUAUUGAUGCAAUCUAUCCAUCUGCCAGUCAUGCUAAUGAACAUCUGCAAUAGUACCAUUGGGAAUACUUCAGGAACAGGGCAAGUUUGAAAAAAUGAAAUACACUUCAUGGCAGUUUUUGGAAGAACUCAUUUCAGCUUACAUCAAUAGUAACAUACUUUGCCUCAAAUGAAAUACACUUGUGAAAAUUCACUUAGAUGAUGUUUUUCUCCAGUGUAGAAAGUUUUGAUGGAAAAUUUUGUGUCUGUAUUUCUGAGUCUUAUACUACCAUAUAAAUAUCUCCUCAGCAAACAUUACUUAAAAUUACUAGAAAACAGUAAUAAAAUAUUCUCAUCUAUACAUAAUAACAGAUGGAAAAGGCUUGUCCAAUUUACUGAUUCACACAGAUAAAUCACCCAAGCCUUUCAAGAAUUUGGGCACCAAAACUUUAGAAAUGAAUUUUAUUGGCUAAUGUGAAAUUAAAAACUCUGAGAAAGGACCUUUAUAGGAAAUUCUGAAAAACAAAAAAGCAAACAAACAAAAACAAACAAACAAACAAACAACAGUAUGUAAAGUAGACUGUUGUGUCCUUGAACCCGAAUCAAUGACAAUUUGGAUCAAAAAUAAAUAAAUAAACAAACCAUGAUACCAAAGGUUAGUCCAACUUUCUCCUAAGCUGGGUUGCCCUUCUGACACCCCCAUCCUCAAAGCCCACAUCCUAAAUCACCUUUUCUAAAGGUGAUUAAUUUCCCUUAUAAUUUCCAUAAGUCAUGGAAGCAUAUUAGUUGUCCAACAGCAUUAACAGAGUGAUGUGUUUGGACCAAAACCUCCUAUCACAUGAUAUUUCUAAUUAUCCUAUUGUCAAAAGCUAAUCUUCGGUGUUUUGCCUUUCAGAAGUGCUUAUGACAUAUCUGGUUACUGACACAAUGCAGUGGAACAAUACACAAUGCUACUCUCUUUUUUUUCAGAGUUCUGCUAAUAAACCAUGUCCACUGAAAAAAUAACAGGGAAUGUAUGCACCCCAGAUGCAGUUACACCUCAGAUGACCAAGCAGAACCACAGAGCAUGGCAUUGCACUGCUUAUUGGUGGGAUAGAGUCUGAGUGCUGUCUCAGCAUUGGUAUUUCCCCAGAGGACUGAAUCACACACAUCACAAUUACUGAUUUAAGCCAGAGCCAUCUUAAGGCUCUCUGUAUUGUUCCUUGGUAUGGCUGCUGAAGAUCACAGCGAGAAAAACUUGGUAUCACUGACAAACUCAAGAAUUUUUCAUGUUUGUUUAAAAUCAGCAAAUGUGACUACCCAGAGCUAGAAGUUGGAUAUGAGGGGAUGAUUCCCCCUGAAUUUGCUCUCCUUUCCUUGAGUGAAUGAAUGAGUGAGUGGGUGUGUGUUCCUAUCAUUCCCUGCUUUCUCAUUUUGUGGUUUUGACUUAACUUGAGCACGCAAAAGGCAAACUAAUGGCUACCUGUGAUGGGCUGAAGCAAUGCUCCAAACAGACUGUUUUCCAGGGUAUUGUCUAGGCAUGAUUCCUCAUUUUCUACUGUUUGAAAAGCUGUCACGUCAUGUCCUGAAGAAUCUGCAGAAGAAAUGCUGGUCUGGCUCCCACAUGAAGAUUUGGCCAGGCUCCCAAGUGUGAGACUAAAGCUUGUUUUGCUGUCUGCUGCGUGUACCCAGAGUGACAGGAAAACUGGUGGUAUGCUGGGGACAUCCUGAAGAAAGGGAGACUUGAAGCCAGCUGCACUGGUGGGAACUAGUGAUGGCUUCAACUUGGCAGAAAACUCAAGAAUUCUACAACUGAAUCCUUGAAAGUGGAGAUCCAAGGACAGACCCAUGGCCUCUGGUCCACUCUCCACUGCCAGUUAUGUUCCUUUUUGCCUUCUACCUCCUUGUUGUGGCACUGGGGUCCUUCUACAUGCGUAACCAGAAACUGCUGAAGCUGCGAGGUCUGCUGGUUGCCUACAAUCUAUCCAUGAUGAUGUUAUCAAGUUACAUGUUUUAUGAGUUUCUGGUAACUUCAGUCUUGGAUGACUACAGCUACCUGUGCCAGCCCGUGGAUAAUAGCCGAAGUGAGCUAGGAAUGAGGGUCUAACAGCGUUUCCUUGUGAUAUCCGGCAGAUGGCAAGAGUGUGUUGGUGGUUCUUCUUCUCCAAAGUCAUCGAGCUGCUUGAUAUGGUUUUCAUUAUUCUGCGCAAGAAACAAGAACAGGUGACUUUUCUGCAUGUGUAUCAUCACGGCACUAUGCUGUUCAACUGGUGGUCGGGGUGAAAUACGUGCCUGGAGGACAAGCUUUCUUUAUUGGGAUGCUAAACUCCUUUGUACACAUCUUCAUGUAUGGCUAUUAUGCCCUGGCCAGCCUGGGACCACAGAUGCACUGUUACCUGUGGUGGAAGCGUUACCUAACCAUCAUGCAGCUGUGCCAGUUUGUGGCCAUUGCUGUUCAUUCUUUCUACAACCUCUUCACAGAAUGCCCGUUCCCUGAUGGUUUCAACAUUGCAGUCUUCCUUUACAUUCUCAGCCUCAUUGCUCUCUUCCUACGCUACUACUAUUGGACGUAUACUAGGGGAAAGAAGAAGAAGCUAACUUAAAGAAAACCAAAGAGGAGAGUGAGCAUAUUUGCAAAUUCUCUGCUGCUUCUGUCAUGAUUGCAUGAAGAAAAAAUGUAUUUGGGGAGUGUAUGUGAGGCUCUUGUGUGCAAACCCUUGGUUGCCUUCAAAUAUUUCGAGUUAGGAAGAGAAAAGGAACAACAUAAACUCAAGAGUUAAGAUAUUAAUGAGCUCACUUACUUGAAGCUGGUACAAAGCCAAGCCACAUAGUCAUCAAUACAGAAGUCUUUGUGAAAUUCGCACCAGAAGAGCUCCACUUUCCGUUCCAUCUGUCAGCAUGGUUUGCAAAGUCUAUCAUUCAACCAUGACUCCUUGACUCAUUUCUGUAGAGUUUCUUUCCAUUCCUAAGACCAUCUCAGCUUACCAUUGUAGAUCAGGCAGGCUCAGGUGCCUCCAGCCUCAAAGCAGUGUCCGUGUGACAGCAGCAGCCAGGAAUUACUGUAAUUGUGGGAUGCACUCACCUGUACACUUCACCCCAGCCUUUCCUAUUGAGGAAAUUUCCAGUAGGACUGGGAUGAAUUACAGCUAUAUGGCCCUUAUGGUUUCACUUUAUGUUAGUGUAACCAUGAAGGAAACUGGAUAUUACUUUGUCCAACCAAACAGCUGCCUCUGUUCUUCUUUCACUGUUCUGAAGCUAAAGAUGGCAUUAUUGUCUCUAAUCUGUCACACAAGCCUUUCCAUCCUGACUAGGAAACUAAUGUAGUAAGAAUCAUAAUGUAACACUUUCUGGAAUGCUUAUUUGCCUUUUGUUGCUUUCAUAUCAUUAGAGAAGUUUUCAUGCAUGAGGACUAUUUGGUAUUGCUUGCUAUAGAUGCCAUAUUUUUGAAUAAGAAGAAUAAACUGAGGCUCUGCAUUCAUAACUUUUUUUUCCUAUUUGUUAUUACUAUUAUUAUUUCAAACUUUUGUCUCUUAUCAAAGAUGAAAAGUUUUCCACCACCUUAAGCAAUAACUUUCACUACCAAAUUGUAUGAGUAUUAAUACAAAAUUUAUGAAGUCAACUCACUGGCUAGUGCAAAGCUGCAUAGCUCCAGUGACUUUAUUGAUUCAUUUGUUGGCUCCUUUUUUGCUCCUAAAUCAAUUAGAACUAGAGUUUGGCACUUCCAUUCAUCUGUAGACAGUUAAGUAAUUUUAAAAAUUUGGUCCUGAAAAUCUAAAAUUCAGUUUUUAAACUAUGAAUUUGUAUUUAUUUAUUCCAUUCUACUUUUUUGAUUAAAAAUAGUGAUUUAAAAAUAGUGAUUUUUUUUUCACAGUUGAAAUGCAAAGUUCUUAAAGCCAAAUUCACAUCAAAUAUAAAAAAGUCUGUCUUUUAUGGAAAAGUCCAGGGAGGUAAUCUACUGCCUACAUGGGUGCAUACAAAAAAAACCUGCACAUUUUACAUCAAUUUGGAACUUACUGGCUAUCCAAAAUAAAUGCUACUUGUUCAUCACUGAUAUGUGUGUGCAUAUGCCAGACUUUUCCCUUAGCUGCUACAUUCACAUUUGUAAGAUAAAUUAGUAUUCUUCCAUUCCUUGUCCUCCUUCUUCACACACAAUGAUUCUAUGCUAUUACCACAAUCAUACAUUAUAAAUGUAAUUCCAUUGAUUUGAGUAUUCUGAUUUUCAUUGGUGAAUAUGAAAAGCAAAUCAGGCCUUAUUUCAAUCUGUGUGUUAGCUGUUCUUCCUGCCAAAUAUUUCUCUCUGCUACUUCUUAUAUGAAUUAUGCUGCUUUUUCAUACUAUAAUGCAACUGUUGUUAAAGCUUUAAAUGAUAAACCUCUGGGUGAGUCCUCGGUUCUUCUCUUUGUUUGGUGAAGCAGGAAAAAUAAACCUGCUGUGUAUCUAACAUACUGUAUUCACGGUCAAGGUUCCCCAAGAGGCCUCUCUAGCACUGAAGAUUGGUGCAAGUAAAGCUCUUUUAUUGUUUUUAUCCACUUAGCGAUUCACUUAUGUCUGUGUCCGGCAGUACACUUGGCCCCAUAGUUUCAUGGUAGAGCAUAACUCUUCCUGCAGCUGGAUAUAUUAUCCAUGCUUACAAACAAAUCUAAUGAAUUUAGCUCUUUUUCCUAUAUGUGAAGGAUCAUGAACAGAUCUUGAGCUGAUUUUCCUCUCCCAUAAGCUUUCUCAGAUUUCAAGGGCUAAUGGUUCUGAUUUCAAAGGUUACUAAUUUCAAGGGCAUCACUAAUAAUUUUAUUCCAGAGUUGGCAUAAAACAUUUUGUUAUUCUUUGACUCAUUAAUAAUUCAUGACUGCUUAGAAAGUAGAAAUUAGAUGGAAAUUUGGAUAAGAUUACUCAACACUUUUGCAAAUCUACUCCUUAAAAACAAACAAACAACAACAACAAAACCAUAACUUUUUAUUGUUGUUGUUUUAAGCAGUGCAUGCAGAUUAAUUUGUGUAUGUCAGAGCUUACUGCAAUGGAUUCUAGACUGUGACUGGCUGCAUAGUUAAUGAUAAAAUGCAAAGGAAUGAAUCUGCCACUUGGUAGCUUGUAGUAAGUGACCAAGCACCCAACACACAUGGCUGUAACUGUUUGUCCUAGACAAGUAACCUCUGAUCUAUCCAUACCUGUCCUUCUUCCUUAGCCUGGGUGAGUGGCCUGAUCUUGCACUUCUGAACAGGUAGGAACAUUUUGUCAGUGUGAUUUCAGUGGGCAUAGGAUGAAAAUGAAGUUAUUUUCAUUUGGGUGAUAAGGAAGGAUUAAGUUUGCCCAGAAACAUCCUGCUUUGCAUACUUAAAUGGAUGUUUAUGUAGAGCACAACUAUUGCAAAAGCAUCAACACAAACAAAAUUCACUUGUGAGACUACUUGCUUUAACAGGGAAGAUAAAGUUGCAUAGGUAUAACCUUCUGGCUCUUCAGGUCAUAAUUCUUUCCUCUUUUAGAUUGCAUUCCUUUGUCUUCAUUCUUCUAUUUGAAAUUGGGAUAUCUGAGUUGGUACUGUCCACUUGCUGUUGUGACAAAAGCAAAAAGCUGAGAGUACAGGUACACGCCUCUGGAAUUUAAAAGAGAAUAAAGGCACAGAAUGAGAUUUCCCCUCUAAGCUAAGUCCCUAGAGUUAAAGAUUACAUCACAGUAAUGCACUGUAAGUCACAAGGGCUGGAAAUUACAAAUUGCAAGUCUGGAUGAUUCAUACUGUCUGGCAGAGUCCAACACUUUGAGGCUGAAUUGGAAAUAUCCUGUUGCAGCUGGAUUUAUACAAACCAUUGGGCUAAAUGCUGAUCCCACCAAUAUCAAUGACAAAGCCUGCAGACUUCGCUGGAAACAAGAUGGCACAGCUGUGUGAAAAACAAUGCACUCAGCUACAUAGUGUUGUUUUGGUGUGAGCAGACUCGAGUGAUAUUCAAGCUCAAUGGAUGACUUUCAAGGGCACAGUUGUGUGCAGGCAUCUCCCUUGUAAAAUGUGGGUCAUUAUACCUCCUUGGAGCAGUUUGCACUCACAAGAUGUAAAGCAUAAUGUAAGUAGUCUGUUUAAAUGAAUAAGCCUGAUAUAUGGUAGUGCUCAACAUCUUUCCUACUGUUCAAGUCAAUGUAAAUUAUGGAUGUUUUGAUAAAAUUACUUUCAAAUUAACCAGAUCACUUACUCAGUGCUUACUUUCUCUUGGAAGAUAAAUGAGAGGGAUUCUAAUUUUAAUUGAAACAAAUUUAAAAAAAAAAAAAAAGAAAGAAAGAAAGAAAAUCAAUUGCUAUUUAAUGUUUUUUCCAUCAGUGUGUGAUGGAAAGUUUCCAGAAGAAUUUACGUUUAAAAUUGCAUAACCAUAUAAAAGUCUGGAAUGUGAUUGGGUUUUAACUAUUGGAGUGUUUUUGGAUGCUAUCAGAAAAUAUGUCAGUGUAUAUUAAAAAAAAAAAAAAAAAGCAGAAUUACUCUAAACAAUCAAUUAAGCAAAAGCAGGAUGCCUUAGAUUGCUUUGUACAAUAAAUAAAAAUCUGUUGAUACAGAUAUAAGACACCUCCAAGCUAAACAUUAAAAAAAAAUCAGCUGAUACUAUAUAUAGAAGAGUGUGAAUUUGUUGAAUUCAUUAAUGAAUAACUUCAUGGAUUAGGCCUUGAUAGAUGAAGUGCUCGCAUCCAGAUGUUUAGUGUGAUUUGUCAAUGGUCUUGUACUUAAUCCUCCUGAACAGGAAAUAAGAGUCUUUUCUCUGGGGUCUCCCUUGGGGACUGUGGCAGUCUCUCUGUCAUACGCUCUCUCUCUGGCCUGAAUCAUCACAACAGAGGAUCAGGCUGCUGGGGAAUUAACCAAGUGGAGGAGGCUCAGAUUUGCCUUUAACCCUUUCAUUUUCUUCUCUGCUUUGGGUGGCCUCCUCACCAUAUGACAUGAUGGGAAUGUUAUUUAGUCCAUACAUGGAGAUAAAAACGUGGAGUUGCCCAUGUUGUCCCACAAGGUGCAUUUGUGGGAUCCCUGUCCCCACAAAAUGUGUCGAAGCUCACAUGCCUAGUUCUACCACCACUGAAGGGUGGGGCUGUGGGCAGAUCAAGCCUGUGGAGGCUGCUGGAUGUGUAUCCACAUCUCAGGAUUGUAUUUUAAUUUUUGGGAUGCUGCUGCUCCACAGUUGCUGUCAGUGAUAGAGUUGGCCCAGGAGGGAGUGCUUGUGAAAGGUCAGGAUGUCUCCAAGGUGUCCCCAGCCAAGUAUGCCAGAACAUGCAUAGCACAUGUGUGUCUGCAUAUGGGUAGAUGAAUGCAGCAUCUUCAGACUGCCUCCAUUUCUGAUCUCUCUACAUGUAAAACCCCCAACAUAGGACAGGUCAUUCAUUUCUCAGGAAGGCACCAUCCUGCAGUGUAUGAGCAUCCUACUGAACGACAGCUCCCAGAAGCUACUCCUGCUGCAUAAUAGUGGUGCUCAUCAGCCCAUGACAACUUGGAUCAGCCAGCUGCAUCUAUCUCAGUACCUCAGAGAAGGGAAAGGCCAGAGCUAGCAUGAAUAUACAUCAUAUGCAGGCCAAGCUGAUGAGGUAAAGAAAUUACAGACAUCUCAUGUGUGGUGCACAUGACUAAACAGGUCGGAGCAUAGUUAUGUGUAAUUCAGGUCCCUUGCAGGGUGCUGUGCAGGGCAAAAUGAUAAGGUUCUUCUUUUAUCCCCAUGGAGAUGUUGCUAAGGGGGCGCUGGGAAUCUCACCUUUAGGGAGAAGACGGAAAAUCUCUAUUUUUGACAGAAUUUCUUCUGCAAAGCUUGUGUGUGCCUCUCAUAGGAACUAGCUGGUAAAGCAGGGAAUCUUGGAAGAAUCUCAGACUAGAUGUGUGGGGGGGGAAGCAACACUAGCAUCACCUCAUUUAGAGGGGAUGACAACAGGCAUCAUGACUGGAUUAGGAGAACUGAGUGGCAGUGGGAACUUCAUGGAAUGGUAAGUUUGGGUGUGGAUGUGCUGGAAUGUAUGGGACUGACUGCACAUGUGCAUGUGUUUAGGGUAAAAAAAUAUUUUUUUUGUUAACUCACCAGUAUAGAGAGAAGUAAAUUCUUUGUCAGAGAAUACCUGGUUAUAACAUCAGUAGCACAGCACUUGGUAUGUCCCACUAGUCUUGUGUCAUAUUUUCUCUCAAUAUUUUUGCUUUCUGCUGUUUGGGCUGCUCUUCAAGAAAGUGUUAGUAGUCAUUUCAUCACACUCAGAAAAUUAGGAAUGCUUAUUUAGCAUUGCCGUUUGAAAUUUGUUGCUUGGAGUAGAUGUUUCUUCCCCUUUAACAUUAUCCUCCCACUUUCUCCUCACCCUUUCCUCCCCUCUUCCCUUGCACCCACAUAUACAGAUAGCAUCCUAAAUUGUCAGAAUUGUUAGAGCUGCAAAGAAUGUAGAUAUAUUCUACUUAAACUAAACAGAGCAGCUGUGUUUUCCUGCUAUAUCAAUUAAUAAUGUACAUUUUCUUCAUCAGGUUUUCAGUAAGGCUUUCAGUAAGAUGAAAGUGAGCAAGUCUGUCUUUUUCUUAGCACUUCAGCAUAAUCCCAUCUGCUUGCAAAUUCAGGAUGUGAACACUGCAACACAACAUUGAAAAGGGCUAGAAACUUGGUCUUUAAUCAGGGUAGCAUAAUUCAGAGUAAUCUCUCCCAGGCAUCAUUGAAGUGCAGCUCCCUCUUGUUGAUGAAGGAAUGGGAGAAUGGAUACAUCAGUCUGAGAAGCAGCAAGAAGCAGCCCUUUUUUUCUGCCCACAGAGUCAUCUCUCCUAGGAUGAAUUCCUCAAAAGGCCGUCUGCCACAGCACUGAAGAUAGGGGAAUUUUUGAAAGUAUCUCUAGGAGUGGGAGGUGAAAUGUGGAAACAGGACUGAGAAUGGAUGUGGGUUUCUAUGAGGGAUGCUUGAAAGUGUGGGAGAGGGUUAGCAUACAUAUGUUCCUCUAGGUGGUUGGUUUGGUUGUGGGAGCCUGCAGACACUGGUCUCAUGCAAUGACAGGUCAUGUAAAUUGAAGGUGGUUGCACGCAAAGACUAAAUAUCACCCUUGUGGGGUGAGUUCCCUGAGAGGGGGUUUUGCAGAUGGAGAGAGGGCAGGUGUGUAUGUUUGAACACAUGCAGGAACAGCACACUGGAUGAAAAACCUAUAGAGUUGAGGGAACAAGCACAGGUGCUGUCAAGUCACCUGGUUUUUGUUGUGUUACUGAUAAUAUUAUUGUGCAGAUGAAAGCACAGCCGAGUGUCUGUGGAUGCCUGUGAUUUGGCUCUGUGAUAGAGACGUAUUCACUGAGAAGAAUCCAAAGGUGUUUGUUGUGAUGGCCAGGCACUGCAGCUCCUGGGGUGCAACUUAUUAAUUCCAAUUAGCAUUGCCUCUGGGAGAUCCAUGUGAACUUGUCUAGGGAUGUUUCCUCUUUAAAUAAAAGACUAGUCCCGAGGCAAGGUUUAGAGGGGAAAUAUCUUGCAUUACAGGAGCUGACAUAGCUAGAAAAGCAGGCUAGUUUCCAGCGUGCAAGACCUUCCUUCAGUUAUCAUCCCUGAUAUGCAAUGGUAACAGGUCAGCUGUUAUUUGUCAGGGUGCACAGGUGUGCCUGUAUUUAUUGCAGAGUUUGCCAGUUCCAAAGGGUAUUAUAAUACACUUUAGCAGUCUGAUACAUUCCUAUAAAUCAGAGGCCCAUUAUUUUCAAAGGGCUGCUCUAGAAAACAUGUCUGUAAUUUUGCUUCUAGGAAUUACUCAUGUGAGUAAAGUGGUCCUUUACUUCACCUACACAAUGGCAUAAUAGGACAGUGAUUCUGUGCUCAGAUCUUAGAGGUACAUUACAGAACACGACCAUGUCAUAGACAAAUUAUCACUUACAAUAAUCAUUCAAAUUAAUCCUGGUUUUCUAUUUUGGUGUGGUUUCUAGUAUCUUUGGGCAUAUUUCAUAUACAGAGGUAAUGGAUUAAAUUAAGUGAAAACCCAUUAAUCCCAGUGAAUCUAGGUAAAGUGUUUGAUGGAUCUACGAGUACUACCACAAGGAUUCAAUAAAAAUGUCUCUGCAAUGAUACCACCUGAAAGGCAAAGUGUUUUUUCACUUAAUAUUUCCUACACUUGGUGUUGUCAGAAACCCAGAAACUCUAGAAGACUGUAUGUAUACGUUUUAAUCCUACACUAUUGUGUACAUAUUUAGAAUAUUUUCUGGUAGACCUUGCAUAGAAUAGAUAAACUCGCGGUUUGAAUAGAGAAAAUAAGAUCUUAGCAUUGAUUGUAUUACUGAACUGUAAUUGAAGUCGUCUUAUCAUAUAAAGCUGCUUCAAUUCAUUUUCUCUAAUAAAAUGUGCGUCUAUUGAAACGUAUCAGCCUUGGAUGUGCGUUUAAGGAUGCAUCACGGGGAAAGCAUGGUCCCAGACUGCAAUUACUAACAUUGUUUUCCGCUGGCUUUAGAAACACCCUUUGGAGCUGCAUGGUGAGGGAGAGGGGGAGGCUGGGGAGCAAAGCAAAACAAAGCAAAGCAUCCCCAUUCCCUUUCUUUGUUCUCAAUGCGCUGGAGGAGCGGGCG